rnacentral:piRNA from 1 species
AAUGACAGUUUCCUCGAAAACAGACU